rnacentral:lncRNA from 1 species
CGCGUAGGUGUACUUGAUUGACAUCCGUCGGACGGGGGUAUAUAUUUGUGGUUUAUAUUUCCAAGCACUUCAAUACCCAGAACUGGUGAGGCACGGUUUUCAAAGCUUCGACCUUUUAUAUCAGUUCUACCUCGAAAGGUGAAGAGAAGCAAGACAGAAGGCUCAACUUCAAAGCUCUCGAAUACAGUGUAGUGCCAUUGGCACCUAAACCAUGUUGGUUAUGGAGAGAACGUAUCUUUUGUUUUUAGUUGUAUCAUAUUUCGUUUUUACCAUCGGGAAAACCAACGAUGUAGAAGAAGAAUUAUUAUUGUAAGUAGAUUUUAUUUGUAAUUUGCAGUUUUGUAUGAUAUUUGAUUUUAUAAGAAAUGAGUCACAAAUAUUUUAGCAAAUAACAUUUUUCGGACUAUGGCAGUGCAUUAAAUCUUCAAACUAUAUCAAGCGGAACUAGGUACUGUCUGCGCAUAUAGACGUUUUGACAUCUUUGCUGGAUUUGUGUCAUAUACCGCAUUUAACCUGUAAAAUGCAGCAUGACGGAUUAAUUUUAUAAGAAUUAUAGAGGAGUAUUAAAAAUAUUUUAAAAUAUAUAGUUCUACAACUAUACAUGUUUGAUAUUGGCCUUUACAAUAGCAACUCUAAACCUCGAUCGGAGCGACAAUUCAAGCACAUAUGUUGACAUUUGUAAUUUUGUACGUUUUAACACAUAUAUAUUUGCUACUUUAUUGGAGUAAAAAUUUUCUGCUUUUAAAUAGGUUGAACGAGCUAGACAAACUGUCAGAUAUGGCCAGUGAUGUUUCGGAUGGAAGGAAAAGUUCCCCUGCUGCGAGUAGAAAGCCGAAUUUUUGUGAAUUCAGCGAGCCAUACACAGUUGAAUUAGAGGAGGUUUUCAACAACACUGUAAAAAAGUCCUUCCAGGUUCCGUGUUCCGACUUAGAAGGAAGUCUGGGAAACAGGAAUAAAAGGGACAUGUGCGAAGUAUUUAGGUAUGGCUUAAGCUUAUAUAAUAUUUCAAAAUUUUGAUCUAUCUUUGUUGAUCGACCGUGUUUAAUUUUUUAGCCUUUGUUUGC